UACUAGCGGUCCAAGUCGCAGCCAUUUUUAUUGGGUCUAAAACAUCCGUAGCUUGCUUUAUAAGUCUCUUGUGAAAUUUUAUAUCUCAAGUAUAGAGCGUGCAAGAGGUACUGUAAAGCUAGAGACUGGAAGACGUAGGAAGUAUGUUCGAAGUAACGGUUAAAUGUUUUAAUCUCGAACAGACUCACAAUAGCGAAGGCAUCCUACGAGGACAGUUCUGACAGUAAGGGAUGAAGGCUAGGGGCGCAAACAGGAUUAGAUACCCCCGUA
rnacentral:rRNA from 1 species